rnacentral:pre_miRNA from 7 species
UUUUUCACCCAGAAGAGAGGUGUAAGACCCCCUUUUGGGGACCCCCACUCUAGUCUCGGGAGAGAGAGAGCACAAAAAGAAACACGAGAAUCC